rnacentral:rRNA from 1 species
GACGAACGCUGGCGGCGCGCUUAACACAUGCAAGUCGAGCGACGAAAUCUUGACAGAACCCUUCGGGGUGAAGAUAAGAUGGAUUAGCGGCGGACGGGUGAGUAACACGUGAGUAACCUGCCUUAGACAUUGGGAUAGCCUCGGGAAACCGGGAUUAAUACCAAAUGAAAUCACAUAUGCACAUGCAUAAAUGAUCAAAGCUCCGGCGGUCUAAGAUGGACUCGCGUCCCAUUAGCUAGUUGGUGAGGUAACUGCCCACCAAGGCGACGAUGGGUAGCCGGCCUGAGAGGGUGAACGGCCACAUUGGAACUGAGAAACGGUCCAAACUCCUACGGGAGGCAGCAGUGGGGAAUAUUGCACAAUGGAGGGAACUCUGAUGCAGCGACGCCGCGUGAACGAAGAAGGCUUUCGAGUCGUAAAGUUCUUUUAUAUGGGAAGAUAAUGACGGUACCAUAAGAAAAAGCCCCGGCUAACUACGUGCCAGCAGCCGCGGUAAUACGUAGGGGGCUAGCGUUGUCCGGAAUCACUGGGCGUAAAGGGUUCGCAGGCGGAAAUGCAAGUCAGGUGUAAAAGGCAGUAGCUUAACUACUGUAAGCAUUUGAAACUGCAUAUCUUGAGAAGAGUAGAGGUAAGUGGAAUUUUUAGUGUAGCGGUGAAAUGCGUAGAUAUUAAAAAGAAUACCGGUGGCGAAGGCGACUUACUGGGCUCAUUCUGACGCUGAGGAACGAAAGCGUGGGUAGCAAACAGG